UCAUAGAAUUUCUUUAAAUUCAUGAUGUCGUAAGGGAAAAUAAUGAUAUUACCUUACUAUGAGUGUCGUCCAAAACUGGUGCCAGAAGACUCGGUAAUACCAGAGACGCAAACGUUAAUCAUCAUAAACAGGCGUAAAGGGUUUGUAGGCAGCUUUCAUAAGAUUAUUUCUUACACAAAUAAAUAAGUGGUCUGAUUGAAAGCUAGAAUCAAAAAGAGGUUAUAGUGUAUAACGCCUAGAGGAGGGCUGAUAUCCUUAGAUCCUAGGCAGAAUACUUAGGGCGAAGGCCACUCUCCACUAAUGAUUGACGCUGAGAAACGAAGGUAAGGGUAGGAAAUAGGAUUAGAUACCCCGGUACUCCUUUCUGUAAACGAUGAAUGGUAGUCAUUAGUAAAAUUAAAAUUAGAGACGAAGUUAACACAAUAACCAUUCCGCCUUGUGAGUACUACUGCAAAGUAGAAAACAAAAAAAUUAGUCGGUCUCGAAGCAAACGGAGUGAAGCAUGUUAUUUA
rnacentral:rRNA from 2 species